AGGGUCAGGGGUCAGGGUCUCCAGGGGUGAGGGUUAGGGUCGCCAGGGGUGAGGGUCAGGGGUCAGGGUCUCCAGGGGUCAGGGUCUCCAGGGGUGAGGGUCAGGGUCUCCAGGGGUGAGGGUCAGGGGUCAGGGUCUCCAGGGGUGAGGGUCAGGGUCUCCAGGGGUGAGGGUCAGGGGUCAGGGUCACCAGGGGUGAGGGUCAGGGGUCAGGGUCUCCAGGGGUGAGGUUCAGGGGUCAGGGUCUCCAGGGGUGAGGGUCAGGGGUCAGGGUCUCCAGGGGUGAGGGUCAGGGGUCAGGGUCUCCAGGAGUGAGGGUCAUGGUCUCCAGGGGUCAGGGUCUCCAGGGGUCAGGGUCUCCAGGGGUGAGGGUCAGCGUUGCCAGGGGUGAGGGUCAGGGUCUCCAGGGGUGAGGGUCAGGCGUCAGGGUCACCAGGGGUGAGGGUCAGGGUCUCCAGGGGUGAGGUUCAGGG
ensembl:lncRNA